CAGCCGCCGCGGUAAUACGGAGGAUCCAAGCGUUAUCCGGAUUUAUUGGGUUUAAAGGGUGCGUAGGUGGCCUGUUAAGUCAGGGGUGAAAGACGGUAGCUCAACUAUCGCAGUGCCCUUGAUACUGAUGGGCUUGAAUGAACUAGAGGUAGGCGGAAUGUGACAAGUAGCGGUGAAAUGCAUAGAUAUGUCACAGAACACCAAUUGCGAAGGCAGCUUACUAUGGUUUUAUUGACACUGAGGCACGAAAGCGUGGGGAUCAAACAGGAUUAGAGACCCCAGUAGUCCCUGUCUCUUAUAC
rnacentral:rRNA from 1 species